UAUUGCACAAUGGGGGAAACCCUGCUGCAGCGACGCCGCGUGAGCGAAGAAGUAUUUCGGUAUGUAAAGCUCUAUCAGCGGGGAAGAAAAUGACGUUACCUGACUAAUAAGCUCCGGCUAAAUACGUGCCAGCAGCCGCGGUAAUACGUAUGGAGCAAGCGUUAUCCGGAUUUACUGGGUGUAAAGGGAGCGUAGGCGGUAAGGCAAGUCUGAUGUGAAAGGGCAGGGCUCAACCCUGGGACUGCAUUGGAAACUGUGUAACUGGAGUGUCGGAGAGGCAAGUGGAAUUCCUAGUGUAGCGGUGAAAUGCGUAGAUAUUAGGAGGAACACCAGUGGCGAAGGCGGCUUGCUGGACGAUGACUGACGCUGAGGCUCGAAAGCGUGGGGAGCAAACAGG
rnacentral:rRNA from 1 species